rnacentral:rRNA from 1 species
UACAGAGGUCUCAAGCGUUGUUCGGAUUCAUUGGGCGUAAAGGGUGCGUAGGCGGCGCGGUAAGUCGGGUGUGAAAUCUCGGAGCUUAACUCCGAAACUGCAUUCGAUACUGCCGUGCUUGAGGACUUGGAGAGGAGACUGGAAUUUACGGUGUAGCGGUGAAAUGCGUAGAUAAUCGUAAGGAAGACCAGUGGCGAAGGCGGGUCUCUGGACAGUUCCUGACGCUGGAGGCACGAAGGCCAGGGGAGCAAACGGG